GUCAACAUGGUGAAACCCUGUCUCUACUAAAAAUACAAAAAUUAGCUGGGCAUGGUGGCGCGUGCCUGUAAUCCCAGCUACUCGGGAGGCUGAGGCAGGAGAAUUGCCUGAACCCAGGAGGCAGAGGUUGCGGUGAGCCGAGAUGGCACCAUUGCACUCCAGCCUGGGUAACAAGAGCGAAACUCCAACUCAAAAGAAAAAAAAAGCUAAAAACACACCUCACGGCUAGUGACUGGCAGAGCUGAGAUGGAAAAUGAAUCAGGCCGCUGCAGCUGUGCCCCUCCCCCCACCCCAUCCUGUGUCGGGACCUGGUGCUGGGAGGCUCAGCUGGGCCGGGUGCCCUCAGCAGGGCUGGCUUUGAGUGGGAUCUGGCAUGCCUGGGCUUGCACAUGGGCAGGUGGGCGGUGGCCCCAGCACAGGGAUGAGCCGUGGCUCUGCCCCAGCUCCGUUUACCUCCAUGGUGAAGAGGCUCAGGGGCACCACCUCCCAGAUCUUCAAAUUCAUCCUGCAGAGGAUGGCAUGAAAAAGAAGGGCGGGGGCCGUCAAGUCUCCAGACCGGACGAAGCCCUCGCCCUCGCAGCUGCCAGCAGAGCCACGCCCGCCCUCCUGGCCGGCCGCAGUUCCUGUAACCCGCUGCGUUGUUCGUAAUCGCUGCUUGGCAGACAUUUAUCACCCGAUCCUGGGAGUGGAGAAGCCUCAGUGUGGCUGGUGGCCUGCCCGAGGGCUGGGCUGCCCCAGGAGCCGCACGGCUUCUCUGUGCCUGGCCCAAGGCCCUGCAGGUGCCCAGCAAGGCAAGGACACCCUAGCCUGGGCCGGAGGCUGGGGUGCUAGAUGUGUCUGGGGCCUGUGGAGCGCCUCGCCAGGAGCCACCUGCCACCUGCAGAGGCCAGAGACCCCUCAACCAGACAGGACCUUGGGAUGAAGGAGCCAAGAGAGCCCAGAGGGAGGUGCUGCCCUCUGUGAGAACAUCAGGACCCCCAGGGCAGGGGGAAUGGUGGCAGCGCGUGGAGUCACGGGGAACACAGGAGAAGGAGGCCCAGAAUGCCCAGAACAGAGGGACCUGCAUGUCCAGACCCUACCAGAAUCACAGGCACAGGCCACCAAAGAGGCUGGACGAAAACCCUGGGAGGUGGCAGUGGCCUGCCUCCACCCCAGGCGGAUCCCAGGGCUGAGGUCUGUGCCCUGACAUGGGAGCUUGGGGAAGCGGUGGGGGGGCCCCUGCCACCAGGCAGAGGCGCACAGCAGAGAGGGCCCCCCAUACAGGGGCGCCCCGAAACUGGCAGGACGAGGGAGGAGGACAGGCCUCUGUAUGCGGCAUCUCUGGGUUCUUGGGGAGAUCAAACAGGACAGGGUGAUGAUGACUGACCUCAAGGCAGGGGAGAAGAGAGGAGAGAG